AGCAGUCUGAUGCAGCCCGCCGCGUGUGUGAAGAAGGCCUUCGGAUUGUAAAGUACUUUCGUCGAGGAGGAAGGCGACGGGUUAAUAACCGCAUCGAUUGACGUUACUCGCACAAAAAGCCCCGGCUAACUCCGUGCCAGCAGCCGCGGUAAUAA
rnacentral:rRNA from 2 species